AAUGAACGUUGGCGGCGUGGAUUAGGCAUGCAAGUCGUACGAGAAUCGUAGCAAUACGAGGAAAGUGGCGGAAGGGAGAGGAUUACGUGGGAAUCUACCCUCAGAACUGGGAUAGCGGCGGGAAACUGCCGGUAAUUCCAGAUAAUGUCUGUGGACCAAAGGUGUGAUUCCGUCUGGGGAUGCGCCCACGUCCUAUUAGCUAGUUGGCAGGGUAAUGGCCUACCAAGGCAAUGAUGGGUAGCGGGUGUGAGAGCAUGACCCGCCUCACUGGGACUGAGAACUGCCCAGACACCUACGGGUGGCUGCAGUCGAGAAUCUUCGGCAAUGAGCGCAAGCUUGACCGAGCGACGCCGCGUGCGGGAUGAAGGCCUUCGGGUUGUAAACCGCUGUCGUAGGGGAGCAAGAGAUGAGGGUACUCCCUCUGAUUUGAGCGAUCCUAGGAGGAAGGACGGGCUAAGUUCGUGCCAGCCGCCGCCGUAAGAC
rnacentral:rRNA from 1 species